UACGUAGGGGGCGAGCGUUGUCCUGAUUUAUUGGGCGUAAAGAGCUCGUAGGUGGUUCGCUAAGUCGGAUGUGAAAUCUCCAAGCUCAACUUGGAGCGGUCAUUCGAUACUGGCGUGACUUGAGUACGGUAGGGGACCACGGAAUUCCUGGUGUAGCGGUGAAAUGCACAGAUAUCAGGAGGAACACCGGUGGCGAAGGCGGUGGUCUGGGCCGUAACUGACGCUGAGGCGCGAAAGCCAGGGGAGCAAACGGG
rnacentral:rRNA from 1 species